UCUCUCUCUCUCUCUUUCAUUUCUAUAUAUGGAGACCACAUUUUCAAAGCUUAUUCCGUGAGUCCGUGACGUCACGACGUAACUAAAGGCGCAUGUCGACCAAUUACAAGACCAACAUGUUUGUCUUUAUUUUACGACUGCUUUUGCAGUCGCUAGGCGCCGGUUGCGAGUCGAAAACUCUAAAAAAAACUCUCGCAAAUUGGUACGUGUGAAUCCGCCUUUAGCAAAUCCAGGCUGCACUUUGAAAAACGAAGAAAGCGUCUGGCUCUGUUGGCAGCUCCGUCAUGUUUUCCACCUUUGUCGCCAUCUCAGCUUUCAUGCAGCCCCCCUGACUAGCAACACAGGGACAGCAGCUAUCAGUCAUGAAGUUUAUGGUGGAGCACGGGAGCAAGGAUUGAGGAUGGCUAGGCAGGCUGGGUGGUCUCUGCAGCCAGCCUGACAGUAUCCACACCAAUCCACUCUCCCUUAUUUCCACCAAGGGAGGCAGUGCACCACAUCUCAUGCAAGACGUGCUGCACUGGUGGUGUGACGUUGAGGGAAGUGCCUCUUUGUAUCCCUGCCCAGCACUUUAUUGAAGACCUGAAGAUGCUCCAGAUUUUCAAGAAGGGAGUGGCACACACACUUUGCUGCACUCCAAGCUUUUGGAGGUCCAGCGGCACAUUGCACACUGCUUUCAUAAACGUGUGCAGAGUUCAAGACAGGGUGGCAAGAAUGGAGGAUGCUUCAACAUUCACAACAUCAUUGGUUCAUGCUUUCUUUUUCCUGUGGAAAGUAGUGCACACAGUUUUAAUCAAGAAUUAUAUGUUAUAAUUUAUAUUUAUAGAUUUCAUGAAAAUAUUGUGUUGACCUUUGUGCAUCAAACCAUUUCAUUACAUGUAAGUGUAUAUUUAGCUGCAAGGAAUAACAGUUUAUGAGAUUUGUAAUGUAUAAAAAGUGACUUAUAAGAGAUCUUGCAUUAUGAAGAUUUGUUUAAAGGACUUUAUUUAUAAACAUGAUCUAGUUGUGUCAGUCUUAACAGACCAGAUUGUACAGAGAUGAACCAUUGUCCUUUGCAUUUCCUGCAGAUGGAAUGUCAGUCAACACUGCAGGGUGUGUGCGUGUAUUUACCUAGUUGUAUUGUAUAGGGUUCGAGCAGGGCUCAUAGUGUCCUGUCUCCAUGUCUCCAUUUAUCCAAUUUUUCCUUAAAGUUAUGCACAUUAUGUGCUGUAACAACUUCAUUAUUCAAUUUUCCAAUGUUCUAUGUGGAAAAUUGUAUUUUCCUGUAUCCUUCAGACACUGUGUGUGUGUGUGUGUGUGUGUGUGUGUGUGUGUGUGUGUGUGUGUGUGUGUGUGUGUGUAUUUACCUAAUUGUAUUUACCUAAUUGUAACAUACGG